UGUUCACUGGUCGAUGCUAAUGCUGGUGCAUCUUCUGCAGGGCUUCAGAUAAUUUUUCAUGAUCAGGAGUACAUACUCCUUAUUUUUUCAAUAUAGGACGUCAGUAUCAUGUUUAUUUUAUAUCUGUACAUACGCCAAUACGGCCCUUAUCUGGAGCCCUGUUCUGUCAUGUUGUGAAUGCGCCUUCCCUGGGUUGUUAAAUGAUGGACUUCUUGCCCAGCCUUCUUGAAUUUAUUUUUUACUAAGAGAGGGCUAUCCAUGGUAAUACUUGGCAUGGUAUCUCAGUGGGCUAGCACUAUCAAAUGUAGCAUUAUUCAGAACUCAUGCAAGCCACAUCACUAUGAGUGAAUUUUUAUUGAAUGCAAUUUAUCAAUUUUUUUUUUAGCAGUGUAAGUAAUUAAGUAUAUAAUUAAGCCCAUCUUUGUGAUAAAAUAGAAAUUUAUCAUGUAAAACAUUGAUGAUUCACAUCCAUACUUCACUAUUGAUUUUAAGUAUGAAAGAAUGCUGAUAUGUAUCAUUUUCAUUUUGAUGAAUAAUGCCAAGAUAUCUUUAAAAGGUAAAUGUACUCAUAACAUAACUGUACAGUAGCAUUUAAAUUGUGCUUUGUUGCUUGGAUGAGACAAAUAUCUGAAAGUAAUGAAGUAUUGACAUGUACAAGGUAAUUUAUCAUGCAGUAAAAUUCUCCUGCAGUACUGCAGAUUAAGUCCUCUCUAAACAUUUUUAGGUUGGAUUUUGGAAAGUUUUCAGUGACAUGCCAAGGGAGAUAACUGUUAAACAGUUGGGUUGUGUCCCUUUGACUUAAAUUUCAGUCUGUUUAUUAUGCAAGGAGAAAUUUCAACCAUCUUUGUGUCAGUUUCUUUGUUACUGUCCUUGAAAAGUUGGGUUCAUUGAUUAUGUCAAAUAGCAAGAAAUACCAUUGCAGACAUUGAAAUGAGGCAGGUCAGGUCAAUGGUAAUGAUGUGGAGCAGGUGUAAGGACAUAGACACUUAUUGUUGAAUAAUAAAUACGUAGAAGGUACGUUGUACAGUGUUAUAUGAUGUUGAGUUAUUAAAAAUUGUUGGAACAGUGAUUGGAACAAGUAAAUACAUAUAAUUAUUGAGCAAGAACAAGUAUAUCAAAGUAUAUACAAAA